rnacentral:misc_RNA from 1 species
GUAAAUCUUGCUUGUCAAUUAUUAUAUUUGGGAGAUUCACCAAUCGCUCAAAUACAGGAGAGCACAGGAAUCAUGCAGCCAGCCAACCAUGUAGCAAAAGUAGCGUCCACACUGAACCGGAAAAAACUGAAGUAGGCCAAAGGAAGGGACGUGUAUGACAUUUUCUGAAACCUUUAAACAAUCCAAGACCGUAAAUACCACAUUAUCAACAGCACAAAUGGCAUCGAUGGCGACACAUUUUUCCGCCGCCCUAUUCCUUCUCCCCAUUGGGCUGCGCCGCCUCUUCUGCUCGUCUUCUCUCUACAUCAAGAACCCAUCUUUGUUCAGAUCCAAAACGUGGUAUCUCUCUGAUACCAAAUGGAAGAAUCUCGAUUUAUAUAUCCUCACUAUAGCCCUCCCAAUUGCUUCUUUCUCUGAAAUCUUCCUUUUCUUGUCUUCUAACGGUCACCCCGCUUAUCGUUUCUCCUUCAUGCAUCAAUCCCUGGUUCUUUUCCUUUAUUGGGCGUUGAUCAUUUUAUUUCUUUUGCGAGAUACCAUUGACCCAUUAACCCUUAAUGAUAAUUUCUUGUUUGUAUUAACGGGGAUUGUGUUUUUCAUGGAGUAUACAAUUAUUGGGAACGGGAUUUCUGGUCACGUUGGUGGGGUUUUUUACGGUUUAUGUGGUGAUUUGACCAUUAUUUGUGGUUGCUGCUGUUUGUAUUUGGCUAUUAGGCCUACUGCCUUUUUCAUGGAGUUUUGUUUUUGUUGUGGGUUGGUUUUAAGGGGGACUUGGUUUUUGCAAGCUGGUUUGUGCUUGUAUACUGAGGUUUUUGCGUUCAAGGGUUGUCAUAAAAUAAUGGUUUCGCCAGAAAGUGAAAAUGCUGAGUUGAAGUGUGAUCUCGAAGAGGAUGGAUUGAGGGGUGUGGCAUUGGUUAAUUUGUUAUUUAUUGGGCAUGCAAUUGGGGUCUUGCUUGUGAGCUUUGGGGAGUUUGGGCUGUUGUCAAGUCAUAGGGAUUCAAGGCAUUGUGAGGCAAGUGGUCCAUUACUGACAGAACUCCAUUCAGACAGUGCUUUGAUGCGCACACUUCCUGAAUUUGAGCUGGAAUAGAGCGCUUGUAUGGCUUUUUUGCCUUUCAUCUCUCUCGUACAAUUUUGCUUUAAUCAACUUUUAAAAAUUUUCUUUUCUUGUAAGUGUAUGCCUUUUUUUUUCCCCUAUCCUCUGACAUAUUGGUUGUUUGCACAAAGAAAAUCGUUAAGUAGCUUGUCUUUUAAAUCAUGAAACUACUCUUAUAUAUGUUAGUUUAUGGUAAAGUUUAUGAAUUAUUUUCUGAGGUUAUUAAGGCUGGCAACAUCGUUAGUGUUAUUAAACUGGUAGAGGUGGAUUAAUUUUCUGUCUUAUUUAUGUCUUUUGACAAGUGGUUAAGCUCAUAAUGUUAAUGCCACAAAGAAGUCUAGUGCAAAAACAUUACAUUUUGCUGAAAAUGCUCGUAUUUAUUUAGCUUAAUAUGACACUGAUGCUGUGCAACAUAAUGAAAUGGAAGUUCUAUCAUUUUUUGCUCUGUGCUAAAAGCAAGCAGCACACAUAUUUCUGAAGUUAAACGAAAAAAUCUUUUUUUUUUUUUUUU